rnacentral:snRNA from 1 species
GGAUGUGAGUGUGAUCUGGCUGUGACAUCUGUCACUCUGCUGAUCACCAUGAUCGAUUUGGCUGGCUGGCUGGAUAUCCCCUUUCUCCCUCACGGCUCCUUGUGCCUCCCUCCAGAAGCUGUACACUUGAUCCAAGAGGAUGACCUUCCCCAGUAGAGGAGGAAUGUUUUUCAGUCGAGGGUAUGAGUAGCUGGUGCUCCCCUGCUAGAAACUCCCAACAAGCUCUCAGGGCCCAUUUGUAGGAGAAUGUAGAGUAGUCAAGCUUCCAAGACUCCAGAUGCCUCCAAAUAAGUGUUUCAUGUGGCAGCCUAACUUUCUUU